UUUUAAACAGACACUGGCAUGGAC
rnacentral:piRNA from 1 species